CCCACAGUUCAAAUAGAAACAUAAAUAAUAUUAGUGAAAUAAAUAAUAUAUAUAAUAAUAUAUAAUAUAAUUAAUAAAUAGCAAUAAAUAGAUAAAUACGUUAUUUAGAAACCACACAAUAUAUUAAAAUAUUGAUUUUGUAAAAGUUUUAAUUCUUUUAAUGAUGUUGAACCAUCCCUUUAGUUUAAUAUCACUCUGCCCCUUUAAGACACUUUCACAGUUAUGCACGAGCUGUUUUGUUUUGUUUUGUUUUGUUUUUUUAACAUUAACGGCAGAAGCUAACGGAAAAUCGAUAAGAUACACACGGAAUCCAGACACCUUAAACUAAACUCCAAAAUUAGGCUUAUUUAACACUUCUAAUAUUUUGUUCAUCGAGAAUCAUCCCUAUAACAUCUUAGCGGUGGUUUUGAGGAGUGUUUUGAAGACGGUUUUGGCCAGGUUUUUUUCCCCUACACGGAAAGUUUGUGGACAGCUCGACACCGGAUCGGACCUUUGGAUAAUCAGCGUAUUGCGAGACAGCAUACGAAUGAACAGAUAUUUCAACUGGAUACUAGAUGGCGAGCCAACCCAAGGAUCUCUAACCUGCAAGAACUGAAACACCGCAUUCUGAUCGCUUACACGGUUUGACCUGAACAAAGUGAACCACUGAGCUAUAUUCUUUUAAUCAAAUUGGACAUUGACCUUUGAACACAUCGAAUUGGACGGAUCCUCUGAACUGAAAUUCUGAAAUUGCAACACAAUAAUUUAGAUUUAUUGAAUAGAGAAAUUGGUGAAUAGGUGAAUGUAUGAAUGAAAAUUG